GAUGAACGCUAGCGGCAGGCUUAACACAUGCAAGUCGAGGGGCAGCACGAUGUAGCAAUACAUUGGUGGCGACCGGCGCACGGGUGCGUAACACGUAUGGAACUUGCCCUUUACUGGAGGAUAGCCCGGAGAAAUCCGGAUUAAUACUCCAUAACAGUUGAGGUGGCAUCACCUUGGCUUGAAAGCUCCGGCGGUAAAGGAUGGCCAUGCGCACGAUAGCUAGUUGGUGAGGUAAUGGCUCACCAAGGCUACGAUCGUUAGGGGGCCUGAGAGGGUUAU
rnacentral:rRNA from 1 species